CUAGAAUCUGAGAUUGAAGCUGCUUGUGGAGCUACUUGCAGUAUCAUAUGUACUCAGCCCAGAAGAAUAUCUGCUAUGGCUGUGUCUGAAAGAGUUGCGGCAGAGCGAGGAGAAAAACUGGGAGAAUCAGUUGGUUACAAAGUUCGGCUUGAGGGAAUAAAAGGGAGGGACACGCGCCUUCUGUUUUGCACUACUGGCAUAUUAUUGAGGAGAUUACUUGUUG
rnacentral:misc_RNA from 1 species